CCUACGGGGUGCAGCAGUGGGGAAUAUUGGACAAUGGGCGAAAGCCUGAUCCAGCCAUGCCGCGUGUGUGAAGAAGGCCUUCGGGUUGUAAAGCACUUUCAGUGGGGAAGAAAGCCUUGGGGCUAAUACCCUCGAGGAAGGACAUCACCCACAGAAGAAGCACCGGCUAACUCCGUGCCAGCAGCCGCGGUAAUACGGAGGGUGCGAGCGUUAAUCGGAAUUACUGGGCGUAAAGCGCGCGUAGGCGGUCUGAUAAGCCGGUUGUGAAAGCCCCGGGCUCAACCUGGGAACGGCAUCCGGAACUGUCAGGCUAGAGUGCAGGAGAGGAAGGUAGAAUUCCCGGUGUAGCGGUGAAAUGCGUAGAGAUCGGGAGGAAUACCAGUGGCGAAGGCGGCCUUCUGGACUGACACUGACGCUGAGGUGCGAAAGCGUGGGUAGCAAACAGGAUUAGUUACCCCAGUAGUC
rnacentral:rRNA from 1 species